rnacentral:rRNA from 1 species
AUGAUUAAGCAAAUCCUGGGCAGGUUACCCAAGAAGCCGGCCAAGUCCGGGGAGAAGGAUUUCGCCGGAGCCGGCUCGUCGUCCCUGUCAAGCCCCACGGCGGAUGCAAGAACCACCACAGAUUUGACCAUGUCUAGUAGGAUUGGCAAUCCGAACAAUUAUGUCACGAAUCCUGGGCAGAGUUACAGCAACAGGAACGCUGGUGUUGGUGCGGGUGCCAGCAAUGGUUUCAUGGCCCCGCCUGUGUAUGAGCCGCUCCCGAGCUUCCGGGAGGUGCCGCCUUCCGAGAAACCUGCCCUGUUCCUCAGGAAGCUCUCCAUGUGUUGCGUGGUCUUCGACUUCUCGGACCCCACCAAGGACGUGAAAGAGAAGGAGGUCAAGAGGCAAACAUUGCUUGAGCUGGUGGAUUAUGUCACCUCUGCCACCGGGAAAUUCCCAGAGUCUGUCGUGCAAGAGGUCGUCAACAUGGUAUCCACAAACUUGUUCCGGGGCCCCAACCCCGCCCCAAAGGAGAACAAGGUAAUCGAGUCAUUUGAUUUGGAGGAGGAAGAGCCUGUCAUGGACCCGGCAUGGCCUCACCUGCAGAUUGUCUUCGAACUGUUCUUAAGAUUUGUUCAGUCUCCAGAGACAGAUGCUAAGAUGGCCAAGAGAUAUGUUGAUCAGGGUUUCAUUCUCAGGCUGCUAGAUCUCUUCGACUCAGAGGAUCCUAGGGAAAGGGAGUAUUUGAAGACAAUACUUCACAGGAUAUAUGGGAAGUUCAUGGUGCACCGUCCAUUCAUCAGGAAGGCAAUUAACAAUAUAUUCUACAGGUUUAUAUUUGAGACAGCAAAGCAUUAUGGGAUUGCAGAGCUGUUAGAGAUUCUGGGCAGUAUAAUCAAUGGUUUUGCUUUGCCUCUCAAGGAAGAGCAUAAAUCGUUUCUAGUCCGCGCGCUGAUUCCACUCCACAAACCAAAAUGUGUUAGCAUGUAUCAUCAGCAACUGUCAUACUGUGUCACUCAGUUCGUUGAGAAAGAUUGCAAGCUUGCUGAUACCGUUAUAAGGGGUCUACUUAAGUAUUGGCCAAUCACAAAUAGCUCAAAGGAGGUGAUGUUUUUGGGUGAGUUAGAGGAAGUAUUGGAAGCUACUCAGUCAGCAGAAUUCCAGAGAUGUAUGGUGCCACUUUUCCGACAGAUUGCCCGCUGUUUAAAUAGCUCUCACUUUCAGGUGGCAGAGAGAGCUCUGUUUCUGUGGAACAACGAUCAUAUUGAGGGUUUAAUCAAACAAAACAGCAAGGUGUUACUGCCCAUAAUCCUUCCUUCGUUAGAACGAAAUACAAAAGGUCAUUGGAAUCAGGCAGUGCAAAGCUUGAGUCUUAAUGUUCGCAAAAUAUUCUUGGACCAUGACCCUGUACUCUUUGAGGGGUGCCUGAAGAAGUUUCAGGACGAUGAAGCUCAAGAAGAUGUGAUGCGAUCAAAACGUGAUGCCACAUGGAAGCGCCUAGAGGAAAUUGCCUCGUCAAAUCCACAAGCAGGGAGGCCACAGGCAAUAGCUCAUCAGCAGAGUUCUUCUACCUAA